GUAUAUGCCUACAACAUAGCAUUAAUGCACCAUAUCCCAUUAGAACUCUGUAGUUAAGCACGCUCGGGCUAGAGUGGUAUUGGGAUGGGUGACCACCUGGGAAGUCCUAGUGUUUUACAUG
rnacentral:rRNA from 1 species